rnacentral:rRNA from 1 species
AUACGGAGGGGGCAAGCGUUAUUCGGAAUCACUGGGCGUAAAGGGUGCGUAGGCGGUUUGAUAAGUCUGAUGUGAAAUCCUAUGGCUCAACCAUAGAACUGCAUUGGAAACUGUCAAACUAGAAUAAUGAAGGGGCAAAUGGAAUUAGGGGUGUAGGGGUAAAAUCCGUAGGUAUCACUAGGAAUACCGAAAGCGAAAGCGAUCUGCUGGGAAGUUAUUGACGCUGAGGCACGAAAGCGUGGGGAGCAAACGGGAUUAGAAACCCCAGUAGUCC